AAGAUCCACGGACUGAAGGAAGAAAUACUUUUAGGUGAAGGUCCAGUAUUUCCUGCUGCUUGUACUACAAAGAUGCCAGCCUUAACUGCUGACAGCAAGGCCAUAUCAAUAGGAUUAAAGAAAGUAGCGACACCAGGAGGACGCCUGUUUGGAGUGAUUGAUAAAUUGAUUAUGUCCACACCAUCCUGAGCUGCCUAUAGCAAGGCCAUGUCUAUAGGAUUAAAGAAAGUAGCGACACCAGGAGGACGCCUGUUUGGAGUGAUUGAUAAAUUAAUUAUGUCCACUCCAUCCUGGGCUGCCUAUCAAUGAAAACAGAUAAGUAUCAGUGCUACGGAAUGAAGAUCUAUCUUGUUUUUGCUUUGUGAAGAUGCUCCUCAUGCUUACUACAAUGAUGAUGAAGAGAGUACAAUUUGAUAUGAAAUAAGGUUUUCAUACAUGAAC
rnacentral:lncRNA from 1 species